rnacentral:rRNA from 1 species
CGAAGGUGGCAAGCGUUGUUCGGAUUUACUGGGCGUACAGGGAGCGUAGGCGGUUGGAUGGGCCUUCCGUGAAAUCUCCAGGCUUAACCUGGAAAGUGCAGAGGGGACUGUUCAGCUAGAGGAAGGGAGAGGAGCGCGGAAUUCCCGGUGUUGCGGUGAAAUGCGUAGAGAUCGGGAGGAAGGCCGGUGGCGAAGGCGGCGCUCUGGAACAUUUCUGACGCUGAGGCUCGAAAGCGUGGGGAGCAAACAGGAUUAGAUACCCUGGUAGUCCACGCCUUUAACGAUGGAUACUAAGUGUCGGCGGGUUACCGCCGGUGCCGCAGCUAACGCAGUAAGUAUCCCGCCUGGGAAGUACGGCCGCAAGGUUG